UCCAACAAAUAUAAUUUUGAAUCUAAAGUGUUUUGUUUUGGUUAAUAAUAAAGUAAUACUUGAAAAACUAAUUUUGGAUCUCCCUCUCACCUUUUGUUCCAAAUUCAAAACAGAAAAGAGUUUGUUUUCAAAUGGUUUAAAUAAAAACAUAAAAAGGAAAACCCCUCCCCUCUUCCAGGCCCCCUCUCUCUUUGGCCCAUCUCCCCUCUUCCUUUCCCUUUUCUUUUCCCGGCGGCCCAAGCCAGCACCGCAGCGGCCCAUCCUUUCUGGCCCAGCCCAUCUCCUGUGGCCCGUACCUCUUCGCUCCGCUCCUUUUUCCCCGUUGUCGUCUUCUCUCUCACGGAGAGCACGCAGGUCGCGUGUGCGCCGUGGUCCUCCCCUACACCGAACGCCCACCUCAACCACUCCCUCCUCUCUUCCUUAAAUUCCCCAGCGAUGCACCCAGAAACCCUAACCCUAUCUUCCCCCUCCCUCGCGCCGCCAGCAACUCCUCUCUCUUCCUCUUUUUCUUCUCUGCAAGCCCCGAGAGCGCCGCCGCAGCAAGCACCUUGUCCCCAUCGUCUCCGGCAACCCCGAGCCGUUCCGUGGGCACCGGCGGGUGCGCCUCGACCUCCUCUUGCUCCUGGCAGAAGGAAUUGAUCCCGGGUGCUCCCAGACGCCGCCACAUCGCGUUUCCCUUCUCCGACUCCGGCGUUCGUUUUCCUCGAUUCCGGCCACUGUGGACUCCCUCCGCCCGUUCUGAGUCCACGUCGAGCUUCAGGAACAUCGCCGCCGGCGACGCUCCGAUGAUCUCCGGGUGAUGGCGCCACCGCCAUCUGGUCCGCGCCGCCAAGGCACACCCGGCGCCCUAUUCCUCGCUUCCUGGGAGCCCCUACAACGCCGCUCGCAUCCAUGCCGACCCGCAGUGGUCACCGUCGCUCACCGCCGCGCGUGCACAUGGUUGCCACGUUGCCGCCAGCUCGGCAUCCUCGUCACCUUCUGGGCCCCAUCCGUCAGCGUCUGCGGCUAGCCCAGCCCCGAUUCCGCCCAGUCAGCAGCGCCGGACCCGCGCAACAGCCUCUGCAGCUAGCUCUCCUCUCGCAUUUGCUUCUUCCCGGAUAGGAUCACGAAGUGUUGAUGUGAGAUACGACGAGUUCUCCGGCAAGUUCUUCUGCAGCUUUUCACAGGCGAGCCCACCCCUUCACCUAUUUUACUUUUACAUGCUCUUUUGAUCUAUUGCUAUCCUUAUGUUGCGAUUCUGUUGUGUCACGUGUCCUAUCCACCUGUUACCUAUAUGUCCGAGAUACACCUCCUCGCCCUACCUAUUGUUUGUUGUU